AUUGUCAGGAAGCGUGCUACUGUCAGGGGCAGUGCGCCGAUGUCAUCGUUACUGCGUGAAAUGAGCCGGUAUUCUUUACUAAGCGUUGUGCGACGCCCCCUGAUGCGCCUCGAUGACAAUCAGGGACGCCAUUUCAGACCCAGCAAAUUUGGAUGUCAGCAGAAUAAAAGUCUUGCUGGAGGCAACGCUGGAAGCUCGGCGGAAAAGCCCGGAGAAUGAACUUCCUGUGUACUUUCUAAACCCAGACGUGCUUGCACUUGAGGCCGAACUGAGGUUUGAAGCUUCUUACGAAGACAUGCUAGCCAAGCUUCAACAUAUUCGAAAGAUGCUGGGUCGAACGAGCUUCAUCGAGAUUGACGAGUACCUUCGGCCAAAAAAAGCUGAAUUUGCCCUGAUCUCAUUGGAGACACAUGAACGAGGUGUGCCUAUUCCUGGCCCUUGUAUCAUCGCCCAAGAUGGACACAAAGUCGUCUGCAAGGGCCACACCAUUGAUCUGGCUGCGGGAUCAUCACUGGAGCAUGCUCUAAUCAUUUGCGUAACACUUUAUUUUAUCUUAGAUAUCACGUACCCAAAUGCAUUUGGUCAAACUUUGGGUUUGGUCCAGACAGCAUUAGCUAAGAGGGAGCCUUUUCCACGCUGCUUGAUGUCACACAAACUUACGCUGUGUUUAAAACAGUUGAAACAUCCUGCAAGAACUCGUUAGCUGAUGAGAUGCUGUAUGUAAGAUCUCCUUUUUUCUUUGAGCACAAACAAUGCAAAGAGGUAGCAGUGACUCACACAAACCUACAAACUAAAGGACAGCUUUUGGGUUUGGUAGUUCUAAAAACGCAUUGCUUAAAGUUGUGGCCAGUCAUAACAGCUUUGCUUUAAGCAUGUACACGCAUUGUCACCACAUUUAGGGCAACUGUUUAUUGGUCUAUUUUCUUUUUUGACUUUGGGGGACAAAUGAUAGGUGUGAUUUUUUGCAAGUGUAUGUGGCAUACUCCAAGCGAUACUGUUGCACUUUGUAGAAAAAUGCGUGUUGCUACAGUGAGGCAUAACAACACUUAUGAGGCUCGCAUUAAAUACAUUACUCUUUCUGGAUUAAAAAAGAAAAUAGCUGUCGUAUCAGCAAAUUUGCAGUAAGUGUCAUUUUCCAAGCUCGUAGCUAAACAUUGAUAUUCGCAGUUAUUUGUUUUGCGUACGUUGUAAUGGCAAAAUUGCAGCCAUCCACCAAUUAUGACUUUUCCACUUAUUAGGAAUUGCCAAACCCGCUGUUCUCAAACAUUGGUCCUGAACAUUCGAGCCCAAAUUUCGACCAAUAACACAUUCGUUGGGUGAACUAGAAUAACCAAGUCUUGUGUCACAGUUCCAGCAUAUUUUGAUUAUAAAGACUUAAUAUUGUGUCUACAAGAAAUUGUGUUAAGCUGCAGCUUUUAAUUAGUGUAUAUGUGCUACAAAUAUGAAUGAACAAGGCAAUUUGUGAAUGGAGCUUAUUAUUAAGAUGUCAGGAAAACUGACAUUACUGAAAUGCCAUUUCUUAUGAGAAAUUUUUUAAUCUACGAAAGGCUGUUUUUAAUUUCAAACCUUUUUGAUAUGACAUCCUGCAUAAAAAUUAAGCAUUGUGAAAUGCUACAUGAGGCUAGUAGGCAGUUUUUUGUUUUUUUUAGCAAGGUCUGUACCUGCCCUUCAGUUUACAAGUUGUGAAUGACUUGCAAGUUGUCUUAUCUAUAGUCAGAGAAAUGCUUUUUGUAGGAAAAGUGUGUCCUCAUAUACAGGGCUUGCAACAUGAGAGUAGUAUUUUGUGAUUGCUGAAAGUUAGUGCUUCUAUCGGCUGUUUUGAAUGUUUUCUUGCUGUAUAACAGCUUUAGAUGCAGGGGCAGCCCUUCCCUUCUAAGCAUGUAAAGGUUAAAAAAGAAUUUUGACCUCUUAUAUGAAGCAUUCCUGUCAGCCUUCAUUUUAGUGGCAACACAUCUUGUUCUUUCCUCUUUGUAGCCUUCUGAAUUACUCCUUGUUCUCUGUGGUCGAUGCAGUGGAAUAGCUGUUUAGUGCUUGUGCUUGCUUGGCUCUGGUGAGCGGUGUUAUAGCAAUUUAGGAAGCUACCUUGCUUGCUUUAGUGGUUUUGAUAAAAUUCAUGAUACAGCAGGAAAUGCUAAGUAGCGGUGAAUUGUAAUCGGUUAUAACUAAUAGCUAAUGCCGGAAGGUUUAUGCCUGCCUGCACAUUUAGUUUGAAGCAAUGUCUGUACCUGUUUUUAAGACCACAAGCUGCCUUAUAGUUUCGUCUUAUCUGGUCGGGCAGAAAAGUACUAUUUGGAGGAAGCUGUGUCCUUUUAAUGCUUUAUGAGUUAUCUAUUUCUUUAGCACUACCAUGUUACUUUUUGUUGGGCGUGACUUUUAUUAUUAUAUAUGCUAUUAUCGUUUUUAAUGCACAGGAAGAACUCUGCUUUUUAUUAUUUAGCGUUCUUUUUAAUGAUUCCACAUUGUACUGAUGGCAUGCAGUAGGCUUCAUUGUUUAUUGCUGUGCAGUAUGGGUCUCUUGAUUGUUUAGUUUGCAAUGAUGUUUUUGCAUUGUUGCGGUUCUGAACGAUUAUGUAAAAGUUUUUAUGUAAUAAAAUAUCAAAAAGAG